GGCGGACGGGUGAGUAACACGUGGGUAACUGCCCGUAAGACUGNGAUAACUCCGGAAACCGGAGCUAAUACCGGAUAGUUCCUGGAACCGCAUGGUUCAAGGAUGAANGACGGUUUCGGCUGUCACUACAGAUGGACNCGCGGCGCUUAGCUAGUUGGUGAGGUAACGGCUCACCACGGCGACGAUGCGUAGCCGACUUGAGAGGGUGAUCGGCCACACUGGGAUUGAGACACGGCCCAGACUCUACGGGAGGCAGCAGUAGGGAAUCUUCCGCAAUGGACGAAAGUCUGACGGAGCAACGCCGCGUGAGUGAUGAAGGUNUUCGGAUCGUAAAGCUCUGUUGUUAGGGAAGAACAAGUGCAAGAGUAACUGCUUGCACCUUGACGGUACCUAACCAGAAAGCCACGGCUAACUACGUGCCAGCAGCCGCGGUAAUACGUAGGUGGCAGCGUUGUCCGGAAUUAUUGGGCGUAAAGGGCUCGCAGGCGGUUUCUUAAGUCUGAUGUGAAAGCCCCCGGCUCAACCGGGGAGGGUCAUUGGAAACUGGGAAACUUGAGUGCAGAAGAGGAGAGUGGAAUUCCACGUGUAGCGGUGAAAUGCGUAGAGAUGUGGAGGAACACCAGUGGCGAAGGCGACUCUCUGGUCUGUAACUGACGCUGAGGAGCGAAAGCGUGGGGAGCGAACAGGAUUAGAUACCCUGGUAGUCCACGCCGUAAACGAUGAGUGCUAAGUGUUAGGGGGUUUCCGCCCCUUAGUGCUGCAGCUAACGCAUUAAGCACUCCGCCUGGGGAGUACGGUCGCAAGACUGAAACUCAAAGGAAUUGACGGGGGCCCGCACAAGCGGUGGAGCAUGUGGUUUAAUUCGAAGCAACGCGAAGAACCUUACCAGGUCUUGACAUCCUCUGACAACCCUAGAGAUAGGGCUUUCCCUUCGGGGACAGAGUGACA
rnacentral:rRNA from 1 species